AGCAGGGGGCGCUGUGGCUCCUUUUGGGUCUCCGUAAGGUUUCUAUGGGACACUGCAGUUCCCUAUAGGGGCCCUGUGUGGCGCUGCUGUUCCCACUGCGGCCAUCAGGGGGCGCUGUGUGUCCAUAAAUGUUCCUGCGGGCUCUCCGUGGGUCUCAGUAGUGUCGCUAUGAGGCACUGCAGUUCCCACCGCGGCCAGCAGGGGGCGCUGUAUACCCCCCUCCCAAUGGGUCCCUCCCCCGGGGCGGUCCGCCCCCCCCGCCCCCCCCAGCACAGCCAUGGGGCGCUGCGCGGCGCUGCGGUUGGCGCUGCUGUGGGGCGCGGUGUGGGGCGCGGGGUUGGGGGCCGCCUUCGAAUUGGGGGACGCUCUGCGGGGGCUGCGGGGGGAAAACGCGCGGCUCGAAGGGACGCUGCGGAACCUCAGCCGGGCGUUGGGGCAGCUGCGGGCGCGGCUCCGGGAGCCCCCCGAUCUGACCUGGAGCUCCCCGGACCCCCCCCAGGCGCCCCCCCAUUGCGCCCUCAGCCCCACGGCGUCCCGCGCCGCCCCCCCCCCACUUUUGGGGUCAUUCUGGAACGUUCUGUGGGGGGGAAUCGCUGCCCCCCAACUGCUGCUGCUGCUGCGCUGAGACCCACUGCAGCCCCGGACCCACGGAUGGACCCCCCCCCGGCGUCGCCCUUUUAAUCAGCGCGACCCAAUGACUGCGUAACGGGUCACGUGGCGUCGCAUUGAUACGACGUCACGGCGCCGGGCGGCCACGCCCACCGGCGUCGCGCAGCAGUGACGUCAGUGCGGCCUUGAGGACGGCGCGGCGAUGGCGGGGCUGGGCCG
rnacentral:lncRNA from 1 species